UUACAUUCAGCAAAAACCGUUCAUCAUGUUCGCUGUUAUAUUCGUGUCUCUGUGGCUUUCACUAGGUGACUCCAUGGCAGAUUCAAUAGAGCCACUUUCAACUCAUAAUGUUGUGGAUGAAGGUGACAAUAUUACUCUGUCCUGCAGCUACAAAUUCAGUGCUGUUUCAGGAAGCAACAACCUGCACUGGUACAGGCAAUAUCCAACAUCUAACCCUGAGUUCAUUCUUAAUAUUCUUCAAAGUGGAGAGCUAAUUUCCAACACUGACCCUAGAAUGUCUGCUAAAAUCGAUGAUAAAAAAGUGUAUCUGAUCAUCUCCUCUGCUGCUGUAUCAGACUCUGCACUAUACUACUGUGCUCUGCAGCCCACAGUGACAGGAAAUCCAGCUGCACUGUACAAAAACUUUCACACAGUUUAACUACACUGAAGGCAAAUAUACUACU